UACGUAGGUGGCAAGCGUUAUCCGGAAUUAUUGGGCGUAAAGCGCUCGCAGGCGGUUUCUUAAGUCUGAUGUGAAAGCCCACGGCUCAACCGUGGAGGGUCAUUGGAAACUGGGAGACUUGAGUGCAGAAGAGGAGAGUGGAAUUCCACGUGUAGCGGUGAAAUGCGUAGAGAUGUGGAGGAACACCAGUGGCGAAGGCGACUCUCUGGAACGCAACUGACGCUGAGACGCGAAAGCGUGGGGAGCAAACAGG
rnacentral:rRNA from 1 species